AUCUUGGCUGUUAUAAGAUUUUUCUUAAGGCCGCCCUUCGCGUCUCGACACAAAUAUUUUCCAUCUUCGCAACUCAAUUUAUUCGGAAAUUAAUUUAAUUAAGCUCCAAGCUUAAUUCCUUAAAUUAAUUCCUAUUCAAAAAAAAUUUAAAUCUCCAAGUCUACUAAUUUAAUUCGAUAGGCCCAACUGCCAAAUUUAAUUCAUUCUCGACCCACUUCUUUAAUUUUACUUGACCCAAUUACUACUUCCAUAGGCCCAAGCAAAAAAAUAUAGAGUGAGCCCAAAUUACUCCCUCUCCCUACCGUGACUCUCUCUCUCUCCAUCUUAUUUCAUUUUCUUUUUUUUUUCACUUCUGAUUCGAAUCCCUAAUUGGAUUCCCAGGCAGCGACGCCUCCUCUCCAUUCUCGCCCUCUUCGGCGAGUUCGUCGCCGUUCUGGCACCGCCGGAGCUCGUCUCCUCCCUUGGUCAAACACCCUUCCACCUCCACUCAAAUUUAUUUUUAUUUUCUUUUCCCCAUUUUUCUACAACCAGCGUCUCUCUCCCCUCUGAUAUACACGAGGUGACGAGGGUCUUCAAGAAAUACGGCGGCGGCACCCUUCCUCCGGCGAAUCUCAUCCCUUUUUCCGGCGCCUUCUCUCUCUCUACGGCGGUUGCUGAUUUGGGGAGGGCGUCGCCUCUCCUUUCCCCUACUCGAUGAAAUAUCGCCUUGACGGACGCCGAAGCUCCGUCGGCCUUCUCCCGUCGGGUUACCCCUGCGGCGGCCGAACCACCUCUAUCGGGCUCUCCGUUCCAGCGGCGAUACCUCACCGGGUCAGUGGCCUCCGUCGCCCUCCUCGUCGGCUCUCUGGGGCCCUGUCAUCGAAGCUAAGUCUCCUCCCUUUAUCCCCCUUAAAUUCCAUUAAUUAAGCAGUGGCUAUGUGUUCUUUGUUCAUUAAUUAACUGCUCUCGUGGGGGUCGUUUAAGAAAGCUCGGGAGAAGCUUGAUUUGCCCUCUUCUGCCGCUGCCUCACGCUGCCAAUUCCUCCCUCCGUCGCCUCUGUUAUCCGAGAGCCUUGGGGUCGAGAGAAAGUGUAGAUGGGAGGGGGGUGACGGUGGUAUUUAUAGGCAGUUCCUUGGCCUCUCAUGGCAGCAACUUGGGCAUUGAUGGUUCCAUUUUCGGCUACAGGCUUAGCUCUCUUUCUGAGCUUCAUGAUCAUGUUGAACAUGCUAUUUUGGUGAUUGUUUUGGUUGCUUCCUCUGGGCUGUUACCUCAGCCUCGGAUGAUCGGAAAAGAUGGCUCUAAGUCAGUUUAUUUUGAGCAUAUACCUUGGGCCCUUUUUACCAUGCUCAUUUGUUCUAACUUACACUUUGGUGUAAGGUCUAGGGCUGCCACUUAUUUUGGAGUUUUGGGGCUGGAAAAAUGAGAAAUUGUGGAGGGUGACAAGAGAGGAAUCUAUUACCUCAUUCACUUUGUCUUAUUGCUAGGUUUAGAAAUUUUUUAAACAUUAGGCUUGGCAUAGCUCUUGACCAAGUCCCAAUUUAGCCACUAGCUUGAUGUUGGCUCCUCCCCAGGGUAGUGUAGGAUUUGUUUGUCCUCAAGGUGUGGGAAACGAGGCAUGUACUAUUCUUAUGUAAUUUUUCUACAAUCAUAAAUAGGUAUUUCUUUCAUUCUUAUCAUUGAAAUAAGAAUUUUUUUUCACUUAAA